AGUGUCCAUCAGUCCCUCCGGUAUAAUAUUGGAGGGCAGUUCAGUGACUCUGACCUGCAGCAGUGAUGCAAACCCACCUGUGAAGAUCUACACCUGGUUCAAAGAAGGUGGAACCUCACCUGUAGGAUCUGGACAGAAUUACAACAUCAUCAACAUCACUGCUGACCACACUGGACUGUAUUACUGUGAAGCUCAGAAUGAUCAUGGAGCUCAGAGGUCAGCUGGGGUGCCGGUGAGAGGCUACCCUGUGAUUCUGUAUGUAGCUGUUGGAGUCGGACUUUGUUUUAUUUUUUUAGUUUUUCUCACUGUAGUUUUGUGGAGGAGACGAAGAAGCAUCACUGAGACCAUCACCAUAAUUUUCAAUAAAAACUACAGCAAUCCCGAGUGAGAUUACUUUGAAACAUCUAUUUUAAAACAUGUGAAACAGUCAGUCUUUACGUGGGGACCUUAGAUUUUACCGAUCAAAAAAAUUAAACCCAAAUAAAUAAAAACAUCUGUAUGAUUUUCUGCUAAUUGUCUUUUCUCUAUGAAAUGCUUAGAGCUGAAAACAUACAAUUAUGUUGUUCUGUGAUUUUCUCCGGUUGCACCAAGUUAUUAUGAGUUAUAAACUUAUAUCAUUUGCUCAGCAAUAUCACUAAUUACAAUGUCAUCAAACAGUAUCCAGCACUCCUACAAAUGCC